GUCGUACGCUUCUUUUUCCACCGGAGCUUGCUCCACCGGAAAAAGAAGAGUGGCGAACGGGUGAGUAACACGUGGGUAACCUGCCCAUCAGAAGGGGAUAACACUUGGAAACAGGUGCUAAUACCGUAUAACAAUCGAAACCGCAUGGUUUUGAUUUGAAAGGCGCUUUCGGGUGUCGCUGAUGGAUGGACCCGCGGUGCAUUAGCUAGUUGGUGAGGUAACGGCUCACCAAGGCCACGAUGCAUAGCCGACCUGAGAGGGUGAUCGGCCACAUUGGGACUGAGACACGGCCCAAACUCCUACGGGAGGCAGCAGUAGGGAAUCUUCGGCAAUGGACGAAAGUCUGACCGAGCAACGCCGCGUGAGUGAAGAAGGUUUUCGGAUCGUAAAACUCUGUUGUUAGAGAAGAACAAGGAUGAGAGUAACUGUUCAUCCCUUGACGGUAUCUAACCAGAAAGCCACGGCUAACUACGUGCCAGCAGCCGCGGUAAUACGUAGGUGGCAAGCGUUGUCCGGAUUUAUUGGGCGUAAAGCGAGCGCAGGCGGUUUCUUAAGUCUGAUGUGAAAGCCCCCGGCUCAACCGGGGAGGGUCAUUGGAAACUGGGAGACUUGAGUGCAGAAGAGGAGAGUGGAAUUCCAUGUGUAGCGGUGAAAUGCGUAGAUAUAUGGAGGAACACCAGUGGCGAAGGCGGCUCUCUGGUCUGUAACUGACGCUAAGGCUCGAAAGCGUGGGGAGCAAACAGGAUUAGAUACCCUGGUAGUCCACGCCGUAAACGAUGAGUGCUAAGUGUUGGAGGGUUUCCGCCCUUCAGUGCUGCAGCUAACGCAUUAAGCACUCCGCCUGGGGGAGUACGACCGCAAGGUUGAAACUCAAAGGAAUUGACGGGGGCCCGCACAAGCGGUGGAGCAAGUGGUUUAAUUCGAAGCAACGCGAAGAACCUUACCAGGUCUUGAC
rnacentral:rRNA from 1 species